GAUGAAGAACGUAGUGAAAUGCGAUACGUAAUGUGAAUUGCAGAAUUCAGUGAAUCAUCGAAUCUUUGAACGCAUAUUGCGCUCUUUGGUAUUCCGAAGAGCAUGCUUGUUUGAGUAUCAGUAAACACCUCAAAAGACUUUCAUUUUUGAAAUGAUUUUGGACUUGAGCAAUCCCAACACCAGUCUUCACGGAUCGGCGGAGGGUUGCUUGAAAUGCAGGUGCAGCUGGACAUUCUCCUGAGCUAAAAGCAUAUCUAUUUAGUCCCGUCAAACGGAUUAUUACUUUUGCUGCAGCUAACAUAAAGGGAGUUUGACCAUUUUGGCUGACUGAUGCAGGAUUUCACAAGGGUCGGUAAAACGAUUUUUGUAAAACUCGAUCUCAAAUCAAGUAAGACUACCCGCUGAACUUAAGCAUAUCAAUAAGCGGAGGA
rnacentral:misc_RNA from 1 species